AGCCAAAGUCGAUGCUUUUGACUUUUCUGU
rnacentral:piRNA from 1 species